GUUCUGAAGGUCACAAGAUUUGGAUUAUCCUUUGGCAUUUUUGCCGUGCUUCAGCAGCACCAGGAUGUGGAGCCCGAGCCCGGAUGGAGCGGACUGUACGACCCCUGGAACGGGACACGGAGGGAGACGUUUGUGUUUUUCCGGAGGAUGAGCUCAGCUACAACAGAGAGCUCAUUGACUAUGAGGACGAUGACAACUGGCCUAUGAGAGACCUCUCUCCUGUAUGGAUCCCACCACCUGUGAGGAGCCCAUCCACACCUAUGAGAGGUCUCUCUCCUGUAUGGACCCCACCACCUGUGAGGAGCCCAUCCCCACCUAUGAGAGGCCUCUCUCCUGUAUGGAUCCCACCACCUGUGGGGAGCCUCUCUCCUGUAUGGAUCCCACCACCUGUGGGGAGCCUCUCUCCUGUAUGGAUCCCACCACCUGUAUGGAUCCCACUACCUGUGGACCCACUACCUGUGAGCCUAUCCCCACCUAUGAGAGAUCUCUCUCCUGUAUGGACCCCACCACCUGUUAGGAGCCCAUCUGCACCUAUGAGAGGCCUCUCUCCUGUAUGGAGGAGACCAUCCCCUCGCAGAAACCCUUCCUCUGUGAGUUCAUCCCCAGUAAUGCAACCAUCCCCACUGAGGAGGCCAUCACCUUCAGGGAAUCCACAACGUUCCACUGUUCCUCUGCCCCGGCCUCAUGUCCAGAUUAACCCCCACCACAUUGUGGCUGGCCAACAGUAUGUUCGCGCCCUGAUGACAGUUCCUGUCCCACGCCAGGGCAUAAGGAGGAGGAGAAAGAAAAUGGAGCCGUGGAGGUCGUACCGAACGGUUCAAUAUUAUACUGAGUAUUGUGGCAUCCCUACUAAACACUAUACUGUUUACUUUAAAAUGUACUUGCAAAUAUAUUAAACCUCGACAGGGAUGAUUGCCGUUACUUGCUGGUGUUUUGCCUAUUUAUCUGUAUAAUAUUGCGUGAAACUGUUGCAGGGGUAACAGGAUGGCGAUAAAUUGAAUAACAGUCAACAGUUGUGACUUUAACAGGAAACAUCUUCAACUGACAAUUUGUGUGCUGAGACAAAUCUGUUUAAUGAUGCUUAAUGAUGACAUGAUAAACUGUGGAUACACUGGAAGAGUGUCUGUGGAAAAAAAAGAACUCAUAAUCAGGUAGUUUUAAAGGAAAACUGUCUGGAGUAUAGUCAUGGUUAAACAAAAAAAAUACUGCUUUUUUUUCUAAAUAAUUUCAAUUACACAAUUGCACAAAGUUACACAAUUACAAAUAGUUUGUGAGUACAGUACCUUUUACAAAACUUCUACUUACUACUUUUUCAAACCUUUUGUGUUCCGGGCUAUUGUACUGCACUCAACCAUGAGAGUUGUCCCCAUGCUUGACCAGCUGAGAAAAGGCCUGCAGCUGUAUGACCUGCUGGCAGUUAUGAAGACACACCCAGACCUUUGUGUGCCACUGUUUGUUCCAGGGGAAGAUGAUAGGGUGGAUGCAGCCUUUGUCCUGGAAAAAUGUCAACCUGACUUCAGUGAGAAGGGCUCUGUGAAGUACAAUAAAGAAGUAAACAUCAUAAACUUUUUCCAAGACUUCCUACAAGAGAUUGAAGAUUGUGAACAAGGUUGCCGGUGUGACGAGGAAAGUAAUGAAGCGCUACAGGAAGUGACUGUUGGCAGAAUCAUGCAGUGGAUGACAGGACAGGCCCACAAGCCUGUACUACCAAGUGAGAAGAAGGACUUCAUAAUAUCUGUGAAAUUCUACCAUGAUUGUGACACACAUCAUACCAUUGGUUUUCCAACUGUAAGUGCAUGUAGUCGCACAAUUACAUUUCCAGUUACUCACCUGACAACAUUUGAUGACUUCAAAAACAUUAUGGAACUAGCCAUAUCACAUGGACAAUCCUUUCAUAGGGUGUGAGAUACUCGACAGUUCUUGAUGAAAUGACAGUUAUGAGCCAGAGCCAAAACCAAAUGUUUAUAUAUUUUAUGCUGGUUUUUCUGAUGUUUUACCACAUUUACUGUUCAAGGUUACUUUCAAGUGUUGUUCAACAGCUGGUCCUAUUACAAUACAUGAAUUCUCAUCAGGUUUGGAGGUUAACCAAUCUGUUUAAUAAGUUUUACAAGGAGUACCAUGGAGUCCUUUAGUCAUUUCUGUGUUGCCCUAACAGUGAAAGCAGUGAACCACUUAUUCAGGUGCCUGCCAUAUACUCCAAAUACUGUAGCCUUUUUAAACUAUUUAAAUGAUUCCAUCUAAAUCAUUUUAACUUAACUCUAACCAUGUAAAAAUCUCUAAAUACAACUAGAAUUGUAAUAGAUUCACUAUGCCACCUGGUGAACAAGUUAAAUAUGUAGUAUGCAAUUCUACUCCAAAUAAACAAGGCAGAAAAAGGCAGAAAUAGACAAACCUUCACAGAAAAUGUUUGAUUGCACAGACAUUCAAAAGCCAUGACUGUGUCAAAGAUAAGACUGUGGAUAAUGUGUAACAUACUGUAGUAAGAUCAAUUAGUUGGUUAUUCUACAGUGUAAAACUGGGUGGUAUUUGAUAUGUUUCUUUAACUUUCAAACCCCUAAAAUUAAUGCAUGGUCUGAAAUUUUCAUGCACCUGUGGUGGCACAACCAUUCCAAAAGAUUGAAACCAAAUCAUUAUUUAAACGUUUAAAGGGCUUAAUGUGACAAUAUUAGAAAAUCAGUGUGAACAAAAGACAGGUAAUACAUCAAAUACAGCCCACAGAAUAUUAUCACUUACAGGCUAAGACACUAUCAGCUUCAAACAUCUAUCCCCUAAGCAUUACAUUCAUGCCUGUACAUCCAAUACAGCAGCCCUGCCAUGAAUUCUACUUUUACAAGGUUAUAAUUUCUUAGUUUUUAAGUUAAAACUGUCAGCAAGGUGAUAAUUCUACUAUGUUUAUUAUUGAAGUAAUAGUGGGUGGUGGAGUGGAGAGAUGUUUCUAAUGUUUUGGCCACCUUAUUUAAAAUGAAUGAGGGGUCCAAAACAUUAAAAAUACCCCUUACUAUAAUAAGCCACUGUAUUGCAUUGCAUUGCAUUGCAUUAUAUUUUACAGGUGUACCUAAUAAAGUGACCAGAUAUAAUAUUUAUUUCAUCCAAGUUGCUAACAUUGUGUGAUAGGGUAGUUUGUCACAUUUUUGUAAUAGAUACUUAAAUACUGUGACUUGUUGAACACAGACUUUCAAUGCAUUGAACCAUUGAUAUAUACAGGUCUAUAUCUAGAUCUAUAUGCUGGCUCUGCUGGCCCACAGUGGAUCACUAGAGUAAACACAGUUGUUCAGUUUUUCAUCAGUUAAUUAACAAGUUUCUCCUUAAAUUCUUCUUGCCUAAUGAAUUUUUUAUUUAAUUAACUGAUCAUAACUGAGAGUGAUACUGCUGAGCCUGGUAUAAACUGAUAUCUGCUGGUUUCCUUGUUUUACAAUUAGCUGCAUAUCAUACUGGUAUAUUUCAGUCUAGUUGUGUUUAUACACUGUAUUUCCAAAAGUUUUGGGACACCCCUCCAAAUCAUUGAAUUCGGGUAUUCUAAUCACUUCCAUGGCCACAGGUGUAUAAAAUCAAGCACCUAGGCAUGCAGACUGCUUCUCCAAACAUUUGUGAAAGAAUGUGUCGGUAAGACAUUCUGGACAAUUUCAUGCUCCCAACUUUGUGGGAACAGUUUGGGGAUGACCCCUUCCUGUUCCAACAUAACUGCACACCAGUGCACAAAGCAAGGUCCAUAAAGACAUGGAUGAGCGAGUUUGGUGUGGAGGAACUUGACUGGCCUGCACAGAGUCCUGACCUAAACCUGAUAGAACACAUUUGGGAUGAAUUAGAGCAGAGACUGAGCCAGUCCUUCUCAUCCAACAUUAGUGCCUCACAAAUGUGCUUCUAGUGGAAUGGUCAAACAUUCCCAUAAACACACUCCUAAACCUUGUGGAAAACCUUCCUAGAAGAGUUGAAGCUGUUAUAGCUGCAAAGGGCGGGACUACUUCAUAUUAAAACCUACGGAUUAAGAAUGGUAUGUCAUUAAAAUUCAUGUCCAUGUAAAGGCAGACAUCCCAAAACUUUUGGCAAUGUAGUGUAUUUAACAUGAUCAGAACAAGACAGAUGACCUUUAAAGUCUUUUCAUGUUUCAUCAUAAAAUGGACAUAAUAAAGCCUCCAAAAGUCAGAAUGCACAAAUCCAUGUGUAUAAAUCACACCAAAAUAUGGAUUUUAAUUAAAAACACAGAAACAUUAUUACACACCGCUUGAUGGACUUUUAUUUGAGAAGUAUGUGCAAUAUUGACAUUAAAAGUUAUACUUCAUUGGGAUUGGUCAGAAGGUGUUCAGCAUGGUCCUGACAGCAGUUCAGGUUAGAAUGAAAUCUCUCUUUUUUAUGAAUGUACUCAUAAAAAAUGAAGGUUAAUGUUAUGUUUUCAGGUGAAAAGUAUUUUUUUUCUCCCCAACUAUUGUGCCCUUUUUGCAAUAUUUACCAUUAGCUUAAAUUUCUUUUGUAAAGCUGCUUUGAGACAAUGUCCAUUGUA